rnacentral:snRNA from 1 species
AUACUUACCUGGCAGGGGAGAUACUAUGAUCACGAAAGUGGUUUUCCCAGGACGAGGCUUAUCCAUCACACCCUUCAUGUGCUGACCCCUGCGAUUUCCCCAAAGGAAAAAAAAUUCAAAGAAAGUAAAAGGCCAUCCUGCUAUGCAGACAGGAGAUGGA